CAUAGUCAUCUUCAUCGUUCCUCUCACAACAUAGCUAGAAUCAGCCGAUUUGCACUCAAUUGAUCAAAGGUAUAUCAUCAAGCAGACUAGGGUUUACAGGGUAUAAAUCGCUGGUUUUCAGGUAAGUAAAUCGUUCAAUCUCACAGGUUAAGGCACACCACUUGACCGAAUUCGUAUAUCACUUGAGCGGAUUUUGUCCGAAUUUGUACAUCUCUUAAGCAGAAUUGACCGGAUUCGCAUAACAUUUGAGCGAUUUAGGAGUUAAAUCGGGCAUCACAGGAAAUCGAUCACAGCUCAAGCGCAAUCAAGGGUUCAACAAAAUUGCUGACUGGUUUGAGGUUAAUCGCAUAUCAUUCAAUCAUGAAGUGGAUGAAUACUGGUUUUGAUCAUCUCUGUUCACAAGGUUAUUAAGAUACAUARUUUCCCUYGAACUCAGUCAAAAAGGACAGGCUAUUCUAAAUCAUUCACUGACCUAGCUGUUGAAGAUUUCAUCAUAUCUGAAUUGGUUGUAUUUUGCACACAUUUUCUUUUGAUUUUACAUAAAGUGCAGCUUGCUGUUCAAUCGAGUUAGGAAGCUGGAGUUGAUUGAGUUAGAGCAGUAACUGGUAUUAGAAUCGAUUUGUUGUCUGUAUUGUGACUGGUUUGACUUAAAUCGUUUGAUAAGGAUGUGAGGUUUUGCUCAAAUCACUUGAUACAGUAACUGUUUAAGAGUGCUGUAUCACAAACUCCUCAAGAGCGUGUGCGUCUCAGCUGCUUACGAGUGCUGCAUCAACUGGCAGCUAGCACAACAUGCACAAAAGCCAUGGCAGCAACUAGUAUUGGGACAACAAUUAGUUAUACACAACUAGUUGCAUAUAGAAGACAGUCAAGUUAAUAUUGGUUUUGGAGGUAUUACUUGGACUAUUGGGGUUGCCUUGUUGGAAGCUGUGAAAAUAACUUCCAACUUGAGAAGGGUCGGCAGUUUUGUGAAAAAUCAUGGGAUGUGGCCAAGAACAGUGUUCCACCCCAGCCAUUUAUAGAGCAGUAUUGCUUC